GCCAGCCACUGAUUUAUUUAUUCAUUCAACAUAUAUUUAUUGAGUGCCUACUAUAUGUUCAGCACCCUUAGACCCUGGUUUAGUGAUGAUGGAUGAUGUUACAGCCCUUGUCUUUACAGCGUUCACCCUCUCCUUCAUCAUUACGUCACUUUCCUGCUGCUAGGUGAAGGGGCCCAGAAUAUGCCACUUUGGUUUAAGGAUUAUUUUGAGCUGAAGGCAAUUGGGAAAAUACAGCCACAGGAAAAGCUCUCUGUCCUUCUUCUUUCUGCCUAAAAGCAGGCCACGUUUCCCUUUGUAAAGGUAACAUAAAUUUCCACUUGUAAAGGAAUUGUGAAGUGGUGCCUCUCUCCAAUACCAGAAGAGGAGAAUAACUGUUAAUCACUGGAGAUGACUUAUCACUGGAGACAUUACCAAGGUGUUCUGAGCCUUAAGGUAUGGUUGCAGCGAUGACGCAUUGCAGAACCAAAGGAAUUUGUCCUUAGGAUAGACCUUCCAAAGGCCGAUCAACAGCGACAAAAAACAAGCUUUCAAACCAACAAGAGAAGACAUGAUUGCAGUGCCUUCAUAACGACAUUGCUUUAUUGAUGAAAUGCAAGGAAAACUACGUUAGAAUCUACUGAUUCUCUUUGAGAUCUAAUAAUACGCUUUAUUCAAAUCUUAUUCACAAACCACUUCCUCCACGGGUCUUUCACAGGAACUGAAAUUGGCCAGUUACAAACAGAAUUGGUUCUACUGUCCUUUGAAAUCACAGACGCAGACAUGUUUUAGAAUACAAAAGACACCAAGCUUUCUUUGGGAAACACGUCCUGUUUGGAAAAAAAAAAACUCACUUCUUAACAAAAAUUGAAAGCACGCCUAACUUCAGAUUUAUUUGAUUACAGAGUCUUUCUCAGGGCUAAUCAGUUUUAGAACAGGUUCCUACUGGCACCAGAGAGCCAAUAAAAAGUCCAGGAGAGAAGAGGUAACACAACAACUUAGGGAAACAAGGUUGUUUAUUUUUUUAAACAGUAUUCAUAUUUAUACCGCUGAGUGAAAUUAUUUAUACACACCCUGUAGGUUUUGCAUCUUCAGAAUUUGUUAGCAUUCAGAGGAUGAUAAACUGUACCUUGGACUUAUUUGUGAAAAAAUAUGUAGAUGACACCUGGUGGAGUUUAUUGAAACUAUUAUUCAGGUGUAGAGCCAGAGAAACUCAGCAGAAAGGGAAGCCGGGUUUUUAGAUGUCACAAUGGAUGGUUAAAAAUUUCAGCUUUGGGGCAACAUUAUAAUACUCAAAUUAUUUGCCUCUGGUCCUCAUUUUCUCCAUCUCUAGCAUCGGUUCUGAACUCAGGGUUUUCUGUAAAUAUUAAAUGGCAUAAUGCAUGCUGAGAGAUCUGUGUGGGCCCUCCCAGGGUUAAGAAUCCAAUAAAUGUUAGCUCAUGUAUCAUCAUUAUUACAGAGAA
rnacentral:lncRNA from 1 species